AAACCAUGAUGAGGACACUCUAAGAGAAGGUCUUUGAAACGUUCCAUACAUCAAGAGAAUGAUUCCUAAGGUCGUUGGCAAAACUGAAGAAUGUCGUUCCUAAGCUU
rnacentral:snoRNA from 1 species